CCUACGGGAGGCAGCAGUGAGGAAUAUUGGUCAAUGGACGAGAGUCUGAACCAGCCAAGUAGCGUGAAGGAUGACUGCCCUAUGGGUUGUAAACUUCUUUUAUAUGGGAAUAACAUGUUCCACGUGUGGGAUUUUGUAUGUACCAUAUGAAUAAGGAUCGGCUAACUCCGUGCCAGCAGCCGCGGUAAUACGGAGGAUCCGAGCGUUAUCCGGCUUUAUUGGGUUUAAAGGGAGCGUAGGUGGAUUGUUAAGUCAGUUGUGAAAGUUUGCGGCUCAACCGUAAAAUUGCAGUUGAAACUGGCAGUCGUGAGUACAGUAGAGGUGGGCGGAAUUCGUGGUGUAGCGGUGAAAUGCUUAGAUAGCACGAAGAACUCCGAUUGCGAAGGCAGCUCACUGGACUGCAACUGACACUGAGGCUCGAAAGUGUGGGUAUCAAACAGGAUUAGAUACCCCAGUAGUC
rnacentral:rRNA from 1 species